rnacentral:rRNA from 1 species
AGAGUGAACGCUGGCGGUAGGCCUAACACGUGCAAGUCGAACGGCAGCACAGGAGAGCUUGCUCUCUGGGUGGCGAGUGGCGGACGGGUGAGGAAUACAUCGGAAUCUACCUUUUCGUGGGGGAUAGCGUAGGGAAACUUACGCUAAUACCGCAUAAGACCUUCGGGUGAAAGCCGGGGACCUUCGGGCCUGGCGCGGAUAGAUGAGCCGAUGUCGGAUUAGCUUGUUGGCGGGGUAAAAGCCCACCAAGGCGACGAUCCGUAGCUGGUCUGAGAGGAUGAUCAGCCACACUGGAACUGAGACACGGUCCAGACUCCGUACGGGAGCAGCAGUGGGAAUA